rnacentral:rRNA from 1 species
CUUUCAGGCUUUACCACCCUGAACGUGCCCAAUCUAAUCUGAUCUAGGAAGCUAAGCAGGAUCGGGCCUAGUUAGUACUUGGAUGGGAGGAUGCUGGAUUUCUAGGUGGGUAGGAGGA